rnacentral:ncRNA from 1 species
UUAAUUCGAUACAACGCGCAAAACCUUACCAGCCCUUGACAUAUGAACAACAAAACAUGUCCUUAACAGGAUGGUACUGACUUUCAUACAGGUGUUGCAUGGCUGUCGUCAGCUCGUGUCGUGAGAUGUUUGGUCAAGUCCUAUAACGAGCGAAACCCUCGUUUUGUGUUGCUGAGACAUGCGCCUAAGGAGAAAUUGCCACCGAGUGAUGUGCCAGCGCUACUACUUGAUUGAGUGCCAGCACGUAGUUGUGCU